rnacentral:rRNA from 1 species
UUAAGCGACUAAGCGUACACGGUGGAUGCCCUGGCAGUCAGAGGCGAUGAAGGACGUGCUAAUCUGCGAAAAGCGCCGGCGAGGUGAUAUGAACCUUUGACCCGGCGAUGUCCGAAUGGGGAAACCCAGUGCAAUUCGUUGCACUAUCGUUAACUGAAUACAUAGGUUAACGAGGCGAACCGGGGGAACUGAAACAUCUAAGUACCCCGAGGAAAAGAAAUCAACCGAGAUUCCCCCAGUAGCGGCGAGCGAACGGGGAGCAGCCCAGAGUCUGAAUCAGCUUGUGUGUUAGUGGAACGGUCUGGAAAGUCCGACGGUACAGGGUGAUAGUCCCGUACACCAAAAUGCACAGGUUGUGAACUCGAAGAGUAGGGCGGGACACGUGGUAUCCUGUCUGAAUAUGGGGGGACCAUCCUCCAAGGCUAAAUACUCCUGACUGACCGAUAGUGAACCAGUACCGUGAGGGAAAGGCGAAAAGAACCCCGGCGAGGGGAGUGAAAAAGAACCUGAAACCGUGUACGUACAAGCAGUGGGAGCACCUUCGUGGUGUGACUGCGUACCUUUUGUAUAAUGGGUCAGCGACUUAUAUUCUGUAGCAAGGUUAACCGUAUAGGGGAGCCGAAGGGAAACCGAGUCUUAACUGGGCGUUAAGUUGCAGGGUAUAGACCCGAAACCCGGUGAUCUAGCCAUGGGCAGGUUGAAGGUUGGGUAACACUAACUGGAGGACCGAACCGACUAAUGUUGAAAAAUUAGCGGAUGACUUGUGGCUGGGGGUGAAAGGCCAAUCAAACCGGGAGAUAGCUGGUUCUCCCCGAAAGCUAUUUAGGUAGCGCCUCGUGAACUCAUCUUCGGGGGUAGAGCACUGUUUCGGCUAGGGGGUCAUCCCGACUUACCAACCCGAUGCAAACUACGAAUACCGAAGAAUGUUAUCACGGGAGACACACGGCGGGUGCUAACGUCCGUCGUGAAGAGGGAAACAACCCAGACCGCCAGCUAAGGUCCCAAAGUCAUGGUUAAGUGGGAAACGAUGUGGGAAGGCACAGACAGCCAGGAUGUUGGCUUAGAAGCAGCCAUCAUUUAAAGAAAGCGUAAUAGCUCACUGGUCGAGUCGGCCUGCGCGGAAGAUGUAACGGGGCUAAACCAUGCACCGAAGCUGCGGCAGCGACACUAUGUGUUGUUGGGUAGGGGAGCGUUCUGUAAGCCUGCGAAGGUGACCUGUGAGGGUUGCUGGAGGUAUCAGAAGUGCGAAUGCUGACAUAAGUAACGAUAAAGCGGGUGAAAAGCCCGCUCGCCGGAAGACCAAGGGUUCCUGUCCAACGUUAAUCGGGGCAGGGUGAGUCGACCCCUAAGGCGAGGCCGAAAGGCGUAGUCGAUGGGAAACAGGUUAAUAUUCCUGUACUUGGUGUUACUGCGAAGGGGGGACGGAGAAGGCUAUGUUAGCCGGGCGACGGUUGUCCCGGUUUAAGCAUGUAGGCGGAGGUUCCAGGUAAAUCCGGUACCUUUUAACGCUGAGGUGUGAUGACGAGGCACUACGGUGCUGAAGUAACAAAUGCCCUGCUUCCAGGAAAAGCCUCUAAGCAUCAGGUAACACGAAAUCGUACCCCAAACCGACACAGGUGGUCAGGUAGAGAAUACCAAGGCGCUUGAGAGAACUCGGGUGAAGGAACUAGGCAAAAUGGUGCCGUAACUUCGGGAGAAGGCACGCUGAUAUGUAGGUGAAGCCCCUGCGGGUGGAGCUGAAAUCAGUCGAAGAUACCAGCUGGCUGCAACUGUUUAUUAAAAACACAGCACUGUGCAAACACGAAAGUGGACGUAUACGGUGUGACGCCUGCCCGGUGCCGGAAGGUUAAUUGAUGGGGUUAUCCGUAAGGAGAAGCUCUUGAUCGAAGCCCCGGUAAACGGCGGCCGUAACUAUAACGGUCCUAAGGUAGCGAAAUUCCUUGUCGGGUAAGUUCCGACCUGCACGAAUGGCGUAAUGAUGGCCAGGCUGUCUCCACCCGAGACUCAGUGAAAUUGAACUCGCUGUGAAGAUGCAGUGUACCCGCGGCAAGACGGAAAGACCCCGUGAACCUUUACUAUAGCUUGACACUGAACACUGGUCCUUGAUGUGUAGGAUAGGUGGGAGGCUUUGAAGCGUGGACGCCAGUCUGCGUGGAGCCGUCCUUGAAAUACCACCCUUUAAUGGCUGGUGUUCUAACGUAGACCCGUAAUCCGGGUUGCGGACAGUGUCUGGUGGGUAGUUUGACUGGGGCGGUCUCCUCCCAAAGAGUAACGGAGGAGCACGAAGGUUAGCUAAUCCUGGUCGGACAUCAGGAGGUUAGUGCAAUGGCAUAAGCUAGCUUGACUGCGAGCGUGACGGCGCGAGCAGGUGCGAAAGCAGGUCAUAGUGAUCCGGUGGUUCUGAAUGGAAGGGCCAUCGCUCAACGGAUAAAAGGUACUCCGGGGAUAACAGGCUGAUACCGCCCAAGAGUUCAUAUCGACGGCGGUGUUUGGCACCUCGAUGUCGGCUCAUCACAUCCUGGGGCUGAAGUAGGUCCCAAGGGUAUGGCUGUUCGCCAUUUAAAGUGGUACGCGAGCUGGGUUUAGAACGUCGUGAGACAGUUCGGUCCCUAUCUGCCGUGGGCGCUGGAGAAUUGAGGGGGGCUGCUCCUAGUACGAGAGGACCGGAGUGGACGCAUCACUGGUGUUCGGGUUGUCAUGCCAAUGGCACUGCCCGGUAGCUAAAUGCGGAAGAGAUAAGUGCUGAAAGCAUCUAAGCACGAAACUUGCCCCGAGAUGAGUUCUCCCUGACCCUUUAAGGGUCCUGAAGGAACGUUGAAGACGACGACGUUGAUAGGUCGGGUGUGUAAGCGCAGCGAUGCGUUGAGCUAACCGAUACUAAUGAACCGUGAGGCUUAACCUU